CCGCGGGGACGACCCCGCCGAUGAGCAGAGGGUUACCGGGUGGGGACGACCCCG
rnacentral:ncRNA from 1 species